rnacentral:rRNA from 1 species
UAGGGAAUCUUCGGCAAUGGACGGAAGUCUGACCGAGCAACGCCGCGUGAGUGAAGAAGGUUUUCGGAUCGUAAAGCUCUGUUGUAAGAGAAGAACGAGUGUGAGAGUGGAAAGUUCACACUGUGACGGUAUCUUACCAGAAAGGGACGGCUAACUACGUGCCAGCAGCCGCGGUAAUACGUAGGUCCCGAGCGUUGUCCGGAUUUAUUGGGCGUAAAGCGAGCGCAGGCGGUUAGAUAAGUCUGAAGUUAAAGGCUGUGGCUUAACCAUAGUACGCUUUGGAAACUGUUUAACUUGAGUGCAAGAGGGGAGAGUGGAAUUCCAUGUGUAGCGGUGAAAUGCGUAGAUAUAUGGAGGAACACCGGUGGCGAAAGCGGCUCUCUGGCUUGUAACUGACGCUGAGGCUCGAAAGCGUGGGGAGCAAACAGGAUUAGAUACCCUGGUAGUCCACGCCGUAAACGAUGAGUGCUGGGUGUUAGACCCUUUCCGGGGUUUAGUGCCGUAGCUAACGCAUUAAGCACUCCGCCUGGGGAGUACGACCGCAAGGUUG